UGUGUGUGUGUGUGUGUGUGUGUGUGUGUGUAUUCAUACAUGUUUGUGCUGAUCUACUUGUGUUUUUUUCAAGGCAUAUGCUAGCAUUUUCAUUGCACAUGUGUGUAUAUGUGUAUGUGUGCAUGCAGUGUGUGUGCGUGUGUGUGUGUGUGUGUGUGUGUGUGUGUGCGGGUGUCAUCCUGAAAAAGAUAGCCUGCACUAUGUCACGUCUUGUCCUCAUAUAACCCCACAUUCAGAGAGGGGUGGCCCCAACCCCACUGUCUCUGCACGCAGCCAGCUGCCACCCAGCUGUGCAGGAGAACCACUCUCAUCCACGGUCACAAACCUGACAGGGAAACUAAGCUUAUUAGAUCAUUAUUGUUCAUACACUUCCUUUUCCUACUUCUGUAUUUCAUUUCUUUUGACGAUAUUCCUCCGGACCAAUAGAGUAUGUUUCUUAUAUUCCUCAGCACCAAUAGAGUAUGUUUCUUAUAUCCCUCAGCACCAAUAUAGUAUGUUUCUUACACUCGGACAAGUAUGACAGAGCGGCAGUGAGAAUGAGGGGUUCUGAGGAUAGAAGGUGAGGUCGCUGAAUAACUGGACUGAAUGUUCUGAGGAUAGAAGGUGAGGUCAGUGAAUAACUGGACUGAAUGUUCUGAGGAUAGAAGGUGAGGUCAUUGAAUAACUGGACUGAAUGUUGCGGCAUCGAUCAGUAAGGGACAUUUGUGUGAAUAUGUUUAACUAAUGGAAGUGCCUGUGCUAUUCAUUUUACAUUUACAUUUAGUCAUUUAGCGGACGCUUUUGUCCAAAGCGACGUACAAGGGAGCUAUCCCAAGUUCAUCAUGAUUUGUUUUUUGUCUGGAAGGUCUGAAGUUUUGAAAUUGAUUUUCCCACUUCUAGAAAACUCUUGACUUGCUGUGUAGGUAACCUGCUAGCCCCAGUGUUAGAUACUAUAUACAACAGUAGAGCUGUUUGAUGGCAGCGGUGGUGGUGAUGAUUUUGGUGGUGGUGAUGAUUUUGGUGGUGGUGAUGAUUUUGGUGCUGGUGAUUUUGGUGCUGGUGAUUUUGGUGCUGGUGAUUUUGAUGGUGGUGAUUUUGGUGGUGAUGAUUUUGGUGCUGGUGAUUUUGGUGCUGGUGAUUUUGGUGGUGAUGAUUUUGAUGGUGGUGAUUUUGGUGGUGAUGAUUUUGAUGGUGGUGAUUUUGGUGGUGGUGAUUUUGGUGGUGGUGAUUUUGAUGGUGGUGAUUUUGGUGGUGAUGAUUUUGGUGCUGGUGAUUUUGAUGGUGGUGAUUUUGGUGGUGGUGAUUUUGAUGGUGGUGAUUUUGGUGGUGGUGAUUUUGUUGUGUGCUGGGCUGAGACGGAUUUCUAACUAGCAUGUACCACUCUUAUGCUAAAUGGCCAAAUGCAAUCUGUAUUCGCUGAAGCUGAAUCUGUUUAUACAGAAGCCUUGUCUUGUCUGUCUACCGUCUUCCACCAUCAUUGUAUUUAAACUACCAUACCACCACCAUUGAAUCUGAACACUUAUAAUUAAAAAGCCUAUCAUAGACAGUAGUUCGUAUAAUCUUACAGAUCCCUUCGGUCAGUCAUCUUAAUUUCAUCAUUCGGUCAUCAUUUAAUUCUCUCUUUAUCUUCAAAAAUCAAAAUGGAAAUCUUUAAUAAUUAACAUGCAUGACUAUGAAUGAAUAUUUAAAGAAAACGAUGUUCUGCCCUGCAGUGCUCUCUUCUUUCACACAGCACACAACCUGUGAAGAAUGAGAAGCUGAACUUGUGUCCAUGAAUUGUUCUCGCAUUGACAAGAAGCUUUUAAAGCUUUUAUUUAUAGUAGAUCUCACAUGUGUAGGACAGACGAUGUCUGCCAACCCACUGGCUCCCAGACAAUCCUCAACGCAAGACCUGCAUGGUCAGCUUGGCCAAGGCAUGGUUGCCAUAGUGACUCUGUUGUUGGAAAACCAAUGACGUGCCACACAUUACUCUUAAGCUUUUUGCAAACAAGGACAAAUACAAAUCCUUCCCAAAGUCUUCCUUUGUUUGGAAGAGAGCACGAUAUCCAACACUAGCAAAUAUUGGCACAGCUUGGCAUCUAAAUCCCUCAUCUUUUCCCUCAAAGCCUGUAAAAGGGGAUUCUUUUACAGAGAUAGGGAGGGAAACACCGAAAUAUUGUGGUUUAAAAAUAGAAAUACGGUACAUGAAGAUCUUACUCAAAUACGUGGUGUACUACUGUGUGCUAUAGUGUUUGUUGAGUACAGUUUGCCCGAGCUAGUGUCCACGCUGUUUUGAAAAGCUGUCUCGCUCUCGCUGUUAGCGCUCGCUAAGUCCUGAUCCUGUUAAUAGAAAUACAUCAGCGUUUGGACCAGGGGCCAGAGGGAGAUGGGGUGCUUAAUCUGUUAACUGCAUCACUCUCAAAGAAAUGGACACAUCAGACAUCAGACUACCGUAGAACAUAGCCUAGAAGAUUAUGGGAAACAACUUCAUAUGGACAAAUUCAUGACUGUGUGUGUGUGUGUGUGUGUGUGUGUGUGUG
ensembl:lncRNA